ensembl:lncRNA
CGCGAGCCCGCGGUGACGUAGAUCUGGGCGCGGGGUGAGGCAGCCCUCGCCCACCGGGCUUCGGGCAGUGUUCCGCUGACCUCGUGACGAUCCGCGGUGGACAUGGGUUCCAUCCAGGACCCGGACUGCGCUCUCGGGGGAGGCCGCGCCUCAGUCCAGGCGUUACCUUCUGCCGUGGCAUUUCUCUCGGUGCCUAACGUUCGCUAACGUAACCGGCUGCUGCAGCUCGGGGCCCUCUCCAACUUAGGGCAUUUGCAACAGAAACUACUCCGGACGAGCGCCAAGGGAGGGGCUUGUGCCUGCAAAGCUCUACGCUCAGCCAGGGGCCAUUCUGCAUGUGUGCAAUAACCUGGGGACUCAGAGAUUACAACUCUGUGUUUAGAUUAUGGAGGAAGAGAAAACAGCCCAUCAGCAUGAGUGGUUCAGUAUGGAAUUCAGCAUAUGGUGAUCCCGUGCCCUGAUGGGAGGUGAAGUUGUGAUUAUAUUCUAAAUAGUCCUUACAAAAUGGUUUCAGCCUGCUGGAAUCUGAACCUAACCAGCAGAGUAUUUUUCAUCUUGGUGUUGAAAAUGAUUUCAAUUGUUUCUUAAAUUUUAAUUCUCUGGAAGGUGAUGAAUACUGUAGUAGUGAAAUAGACACUAUACAUUUCUCCUAAACACACACAGACACACACACACACACCAUUAUCUCUAAUGUGAUCCUUGCCCAGGUUCUCCCAGCUUCUCACUGAGCUGCUUCCUCUGGGUCCAUCUUUUGUGUAACUUUAAGAAUUUGGGGUCAGUCUGUGUGGGCUUAGUUGGUCAUGGUAUUUGCAUGUUGUUUGAAAGACUUUUGUGACGAUUUCUUCAUCUUUCCAUGGUAUCUGAGCCUGAAGGCACCUUUUUAAGGUACCUACCUGAAUUUUUCAAUAGUUUGAUAAUCAGCCAGUCAUCUCUUCCAGAUCUGUGCAAAAUGGACCCAGAUGCACGUACAGAGAAAGCCUUCCUUAUCUUCCCCCAUGCCAGAAACCCUAGCCUUCCCAGGGAAUCGGCUGUUUAAACAAUCUGUCCUGGUUUCCUGCUCAGAGGAAAACUCCACGAUGACCCCCUAACCCUAUUCUCAUUGCAACAUGGGUUCUCUUUGACUUUGGGCACCUAUUUUGGUUAACGACACAGAUGUCAUUAAUAACUUUCAGUCACAGUGUUUGUGCAGAUCCUCAGUGGAGGCCAAAGCAUCGUGGCAAAUACACUCUCAGUCACCAAGGAUUCACAGGCAUGCUGUCUCACAGUCUGCAGUUUGGGAUGACUCCAUCAGGAAUUCCCAGCAGGUGGAGGGCCCGCAGAACUGCUCCUCAUUUCAACUUUAAUCGAAGGGUCUCGGCAACAGCUGGCUGCAGCAGAGCUGGUUCAGAAUUCCCCAGAUGUGGUUUGUGACAGCAUGUCUUCAUGGAAGGAGAGGAAGUAGGCCACAGAGCAGUCUUCACUGAAGGAAAGACAAGUUCAGCGAGGACCCCUUCUUGGGAAAAAUCCUCGGUACCUCUUGUUAUAAUCCCCACAGUAUGUUAAUGACUUAACAGAUAGGUUGUUAUUAACACCAGAUGUUCGUACAGCAGCAAAACCAUCGACUUUCUCUGCCCCCGAGUCUCGUUAUGUGUCCCCAUGCAUCACUGAUUCCAUGUGCACGUCAAUGCAAACUUUCCUGAGAGAAGCGAAAAUAAAAUACGGGAAGCUGCGACAUCUCUUUGGUGGGUUGUCAUAGGCACUUGUAAAGAGACCGAGGUGAAAACAAAUGCUCAGAAACCUUUGCCUGAGGUUUCAUCGGGCACCUUACAGAGUACAGUUUGAAGGAAAGCAGAAUUCGGCAUUUACGUGGUCGAUGGUAUUAGAAUCAGCACAGUAAGAAAAGGAGCUGUCAGGCUAUGGAUGAGUCAAUGUCAUAAUUAACGAGUCAAGACAUUUUGUUGAUGAGAGCUGGGUAUAAUUUUUUUUAGUGGCUUUUUAUUACAUAAAAUCGACAUACAGUUUUGCUAUGUCUAUUUUUAGGUGUUCGAUUCAAAGGCAUUAAGUACAUUCACAGUGUUGAACAACCGUCAUCACACCACCAUCCAUCUCCAGAACAUGCUUUAUCUUUUAAAACAAACUCUGUCCCCGUCAGCCACUCCCCACUCCCCUCCCUGCAGCCCGGGGCCGGCACCCUUCUACUUUCUGUGUCUGUGAAUUCGACUCCUCCAGGGAACCGUCUGUCAGUGGAUCCCAUGCCAUCUGCCCUUCCGUGUCAGGCUCAGCUCCUUGAGCAUGGCACCCUCAAGGUCCAUCCAUGCAGUAGCACGCAACUAGGUGCAAUUCCGCCUUCUCUGUAACAACUGUAGUGUUUAUACAUGCAGGUGGGCAAGAGCUUGGCCAAAUAAACUGAUUAACCAAGUGACCAUAAUCUCAACAAAAACCAUUCUCGAAAAUGUAUCUUCUCUUCUUCUGGCUGUCUUUGCUUGGCUUUGCCUCCUUAGAAGUUUCAAGAGAAAUACGAAAGGAAGCUGCAUCUUCUUACCAAACGCAAACCCAUGCAGCGGAAACUACACAAAGCAAACCUCAGGCUAAGUUGAAGUUAACUACUUGAUGGUUAGUAUUUUCAUGGUUGACUGAUGACUUAUAACCAGGCUAUAUCCCCCUUAGAAUGGAGGAAGCAUAUUAAAAAUCAGAAAAUUAAACAUUAAAACCAAUAAAAACGAACAGUGAAGUUGAUAUACCAGGCACCUGAGAUGUGUUCAGGAAGGCAGCCAGGCUUCUGGCUUGAAGGAAAAGCACUGGUUAAGAGGGUCUGUCUUUCUGGGGUUGGAACCAGGGCUCCUGUGUGUCUUGGGGGCCUUGGGGCCCGGCUGUGAGCCAAUAUUCAGUUCUAGGAGGUGUUUUGGUAUGCCCCCCAAUAGAUGGAGAAUCCAUGGCAUUCAUUUUAACCUGGGGGCCAAGAUGACAUUUUUGAGGGAGACAAGUGGUUGAAUCUUAUUGAAUCACUAACUUGUACUCACUGAGCCACCAAAAAGCUUUUGCUCUUCACAGCAGCAUCCUGGUGAUCGGGUCGAGUGGGGACUUGGGGGAGUCGUGUCAAAUCGCUGAGACAGCUUAUACAAUGAAGCAUUUUAAAAAUAUUUCAGGUAGGCCGUCAUCAUUGAAAGCGCAUGAUGACAGAAGUUAGACAAUUUUGAAAUUCUGGUUUAUCACAGCAGUGCCUGCUUUCCCUUGUUCAUUCCACAUUCCUUACUCUAAGCCAAGGACUAGACUAGGUGCUUAUUUAAAAAGAAUAUUUACUAUAUAGGAACUUACAUUUUAUGUCUUUUAAUCCUCACAAGAGCCCUACGAGGUAGGCGCCACUAUCGUCCCAUUUCACGGAUACCCAGCUGGGAAGGCUGACGAGCCCAGGGAGAGCAUCACUAACCCACCCACCAACCAGAGCACAUGGCCUCGGCGACUUCACAGAGGAUUCUAAGGAUUCUGAAAGUUCAAGUCUGCACUGGAAGAAGCUAUAAAGGAAUCAAUGUCUCUCUGCGCCAUGACACAUCAUUGUGCUCCCUGACUUAUCAUUGUGCUCCCCGACUUCACCCUUCCUUGCUGUGCAAAAUUACAGAUCAUUCACUGAAGUGCAAAUACCAAGAGCGUGUCCAGCCAUGUCUUGAUGAGCCAUGAUCCCUUUCUGAGGCCUUGGGCUGAGAACUAGAGAGAAUGAGAUCCUUUCUUGGAAGGACACAUGUGGAAAAGCAAGCCAUCAAACAUGGGUCCACACUGUGGGGAUUCUACCAGCUGCCUAUGGAAGGUCACGAACAGCAGUCACAGGCUCCAGGAAUGCUGAGAAUAGGACCAAUUUAUCUGACUCUUUGUGACCCCACAGACUUAGCUCACCAGGCUCCUCCGUCCAUGGGAUUUUCCAGGCAAGAACACGGGAAUGGACUGCCAUUUCCUUCCCCAAGAAGACCGAUUAAAGUUUUUUUACAUUGUCUUCACAAUAUCCCCAGGUUUAUUACAAGGGAUAUGAAUCAUGUGUGGCCACUGCAGAUCCUGUUUCAGACCUACAUUCUCUUCCUUUACCGUUUUGUUGGAAUUCUCUGGCCAUCCAGCUGUUAAGACUCUGUGCUUUCAAUGCUGGGGCCUGAGUUCAGUCCCAAGAAGGGGAGCUAAGAUCCCGGAAGCUGAGUGGCACAGCCAAAAAACAAACAAACAAACAAACAGAAAAAAACGUUUUGUUGGAAUCAUCCAAAAACCAUGCUUCUCUGCUUCACAUUAAAAACGUUAGGAUGUUUUCAACAAAUGGUGGUGGGACAGUUGGAUAUGAACAUUCUAAAGAUUGAAGGUAGACUCCUUCCCUAAGUAUACCCCAAAAUUAACUCAAAAUGGAUCAUAGACAUAAAUGUAAGUGCUGAAACU